UUUUGGUCCGUUUUGUAAGAUCUGCCUAACGGAUGCUGGUGGAAAUUGACCUCAUGUUACUGUUGCGGAACGAAUACCCUCGAAUCUCGUAAAAAUUGAACCAGUUAAAGUUGAUAAUUGUGCAUGAGAGUUUGAUGGUAAUUGCAGUCAAAUGUCACGGAUGGUGAUUGCAUGUUUCGUUUACUUGGCCUUUUAAAUAAUCUCGUACAUGACAUGUUAGACGGUGGGAAAAUGAACCGCUACUGCGGAAUAUGGAAUUAUGAACUCCGGUUUCUCUUAAUGCAUGCAUGCAUGCAAUUUUGACCUGGUAACUGUAGGAGCAAUUGGUCUAUUUGCUUAAAUUUUCAGUACAGUCUGUUUUGCCAAUU